UAAACCGUCUUAAUUAACAACGUUUUUGUCGGUGUUGUGCAAUAAAAACCACUAUACUACCCCAUCGUAAGGCAUCACCAAUCAUCGUAAAAAGGUUUUUGAAAUAUCUUUGGAAACCCUAAUUGUCAUCAUUGAUUUUGUCGAUUUUGGGUCAAUUUUGGUGUUCGAUAGCCUUACCAUCUACGUCGUUGAGAUCCAUGUGUCCUUCCGACCAAAUCCCGACCAGGAUCAUCGCCUCACCACCAUCAAUUCUUCGUCUGUCGUUGGGGACAUUAUUCAAGUUCAAUUGCAAUCAAAUGGAGUUUAAUUGAUCAUCGAUAUGACUCAAAAAUUGAGGUUAAAGAAUUGAUCAUGUGGAGUUAUUGACAACAGUUGUGGGAGUUUGUUCGACGUUGCUUACUAGUAUGAUAUCAGUAGAAU